rnacentral:lncRNA from 1 species
AUUGUGGGCAGGGCCGUGGGAGAGCUGAGCGAGGAGAAGCUGCAGGAAGAGCUCGCGGACUCUUGAGAAUCAGCAGGGGGAGUGAGAUGCGCCUACUUCUCCCUGGAGAAGCUCGAGGAAGCAGGAAUGCUGGAGAUGAGGGCUGUUUUGAAGUCAGUAUUCACUUAAGCACUCCAAAUUGUAAGUAACCCCAGAGGUCAUGGAGUGUCCCACUGCCCCUCCAUCUGGAGGCAGUGACCCCUCUCCCACAGAGGAGGUGCUCGCAUGUGUCCAGUGCCCUGCCCAUUAGAUUAG